rnacentral:lncRNA from 1 species
UUAAGCCUUGUAUUUUAUUUUAAGAUUAACAGGUAAAUGUAAUUAAUCUUUCAGGGUUUUUCAAAGGAGCCUGAAGGGAAUAGUCCACCUGAAUUUGAACUCCUGGCAAACAAGUUCCUGAAGCUCUGUUUCAUCAAUGAGGUGUCACACAGAAACUCACUGUGGGAAUUCUUAACAAUAUCUUUAAAGGAUUCUAUGAGCCUCAGACUCUUAUUUUCUGCUCCGUGGUGUGUGGAUGAGAACAACAAUAACAAUAAUAUGAAGUAUCAGCAGACUUUGGGAGCACCAGAGCAGCGUUAAGUGAAAAAGUCAAAACAUUGCUAUCUAAUGUUCUAGUGUUGAUGAUGAUGAGUUAAAGGAAAGUGUGAGUAUCAAAGGUAUGUAUAAGAAAAUAUCAGGGCUUCUGGGAAUGUUCUUUCAGUUGGGUGAUUCAUUAUAUAA